UUGACCUUCAAAUCGGGUGGAGAACUACCCGCUGAACUUAGCAUAUCAUAAGCGGAGGAAAGAACUACAAGGAUC
rnacentral:rRNA from 1 species